GGGGUGGUUGGCAAACUCGAUCAUCUGGCCCCAAAACUUUCAGCUGUAACAUCGGAGAAAUUUGAAACUGCUUAUAAAGUAGUACUAUAUCCCUCUUAGUCAGCUCGGAUCAGAACCCCAGCGGCACGAACUCGGGAUCUCUAAAGGCCAUUCCUCUCACUCAGAAGAAAAAUCGGGAAACCAGAAGAUAGAAGGAAAAGGAGAAUCUACGGCAA
rnacentral:lncRNA from 1 species